rnacentral:rRNA from 1 species
CCUACGGGGUGCAGCAGUGGGGAAUAUUGGACAAUGGGCGAAAGCCUGAUCCAGCCAUGCCGCGUGUGUGAAGAAGGCCUUCGGGUUGUAAAGCACUUUCAGUGGGGAAGAAAGCCUUGGGGCUAAUACCCUCGAGGAAGGACAUCACCCACAGAAGAAGCACCGGCUAACUCCGUGCCAGCAGCCGCGGUAAUACAGGAGGGUGCGAGCGUUAAUCGGAAUUACUGGGCGUAAAGCGCGCGUAGGCGGUCUGAUAAGCCGGUUGUGAAAGCCCCGGGCUCAACCUGGGAACGGCAUCCGGAACUGUCAGGCUAGAGUGCAGGAGAGGAAGGUAGAAUUCCCGGUGUAGCGGUGAAAUGCGUAGAGAUCGGGAGGAAUACCAGUGGCGAAGGCGGCCUUCUGGACUGACACUGACGCUGAGGUGCGAAAGCGUGGGUAGCAAACAGGAUUAGAUACCCGAGUAGUC